ensembl:lncRNA
GUUUUACAGAGCGGCCUGCAGGUUUUACUACUGGAGGUCUAGCUUUGGAAAAUAUUGUCACCCCUCUUUUGAAAUCCAUCAAUGGGUAGUCUGGUAUUACGUAUUGGGUGGUGAGGUGCUGGAAGAGGUUGCCCAAGGAGGUAGUGGAUGCCCCAUCCCUGGAGGAGUUUAAGACCAGGUUAGAUGGAGCCCUGAGCAACCUGAUCAAGUGCCUGAUGUAGUGGCUCUCAACUCUGCCCACAGCAGGGGGAUUGAAACUAGGUGAUCUUUGAGGUAGGUCCCUUCCCACCCAAGCUAUUGUAUGGUUCUAUGACCUUUAAUAUGUUCCAAAUAAACCAUCCUUGGCAGCAGCAAGGAAUUUGAUCAAUUGCACUUAGAGUUUCUGAUAGCGCUUCUAGACUGUAUAGGGUUUGCAACUAACUUUUAGGAGAAGACAUGAUUCACAGUAAUUCUAACUUCCUGUGUCUGGGCUGAAGGCUGAUGGCACUUGAAAAAGGCAAGAAAUCCUCAGUUGACUGAAAUCCCUCGGAAACAGAUUCCCCAGUUCUCCCUCUGUUGCAUCAAAAGAAGAGUAUUUAAGUCACUUGUAUACAGGGAGCCUGGACGGUGCUGGACGGCCUGGUCAGCUUCACCUGGCUGACUCUGCAGGUUCAGUUCGGUCUGGCUUGGCUGGAUCUCACUGACACAUGAAGGGGCAGACGGGACUGUGCAGGCACCUGUGGCUCCAGGAGCAAACUCCAUGCAAGGGCAGAUACACAGAAGUACAGAAUGGCUUAGGCUGGAAAAGACAUUAAAGCCCACCCAGUUCCAACCCCCUGCAGUGGGAAGGGUUACCACCCAAUGGAUCAGACUGUCCAGGGCCCCAUCCAGCCUGGCCUUGAGCAUCUCUGGACAACUUCUCUCAGCAGCCUGUGCCUUCCUUAUAUCUAAUCUAAGUCCCUCCUUUUAGUUUAAAGCCAUUCCCCUUUGUCCUACCACUAACUGCCAGUGUAAGAUGCUGGUCUCCAUCUUUUUUACAGCUCCCUUUGUGUACCAGAAGGCCAUAACGAAGUCUCCCCAGAGCUUUCUCUUCUCCAAACUGGACAGCCACAUCUCUC